AAUAAUUUCCUAUUGAAGUCAUCUUAACAUGGAACCAGAAUUAAAUCCUAACAACAAUCAUGUGAGCCUGGGGAGGAUCCUUCCCCACGUGAGCCUUCAGGGGAGACUUCAGCCUUGGCCAUCUUCUACAUCUAGAUUCCUGACCAAGAGAAGCUGUUUAGAAUAGUUCACCAGUGAAGUCAUCUCAACCAGCACAGGGCCUUGACUCCUAACAACAAUCACACGAACUUGGAAGAGGAGCCUUCCCCAACUGAACCUUCGCUUGAGACCUCGUCCUUGGCCAUCCUCUACAUCUGGAUUCAUGAUACAGAGAAACUUGAGUAAUGAUGACACUAGCAGUCCAGCCUGCAUGGAUGCUGACAUGGAUGCUGUCUCCCAUUCUUACCACUGGAUGGGAAGAAAUGCUAGAUGCAAUCCAGCCAGUCUGUACUCGACUGUCAGUUCCAUCUUCUCAACUCACAGUGUCUUCCAAAGUCCGUGCCACACCACAGCCUGGAACAUCUCCCAAGGUUUCAAAUAAUUCAUCAGUGAAUUCUUCUCAACCUGGUCAAUCAUGUGAACUUAGAAGAUGAUUCCUCCCCAGCUGAUCCUCAGGCCUCUCUGGAUGGUGACUAUAACCUAUAGCCUUGCCCAAUAUGACUCAGGAUUUGGUACUGGCUGUGCCUUUCAUGGGAUGCUUACUUAUCCUGGUCGAUGGCCUAAAGCCCAACCGUCCAGCUUAUAUCCAGAUCCUUUGGCAUUUGAGAGUUGCUUUGUGUAUACGGUCCUUUAACGGAGCAAAUGGCCAGCCAGGAAACCAAAGUAUGGACAAGGGGAAAGAAGCGUCUGUGGAGGAAGUUUUACAAGCGCCCUCCUCAUCCAUUUGGGUGGUGUUGCCCAUAUGCUACAUGUCUGUGGACCACUAUGUGUGUUUAAAGCUUUUUAGUAAAACGUUACUAAAAACUAUGACUCACUGUGGUGAAAAAGGUGGCAAAACAGUGACAACA
rnacentral:lncRNA from 1 species